rnacentral:rRNA from 1 species
GAUGAACGCUGGCGGCGUGCCUAAUACAUGCAAGUCGAACGCGCAGCGAAAGGUGCUUGCACCUUUCAAGCGAGUGGCGAACGGGUGAGUAACACGUGGAUAACCUGCCUCAAGGCUGGGGAUAACAUUUGGAAACAGAUGCUAAUACCGAAUAAAACUUAGUAUCGCAUGAUACAAAGUUAAAAGGCGCUACGGCGUCACCUAGAGAUGGAUCCGCGGUGCAUUAGUUAGUUGGUGGGGUAAAGGCUUACCAAGACGAUGAUGCAUAGCCGAGUUGAGAGACUGAUCGGCCACAUUGGGACUGGGACACGGCCCAAACUCCUACGGGAGGCUGCAGUAGGGAAUCUUCCACAAUGGGCGCGAGCCUGAUGGAGCAACGCCGCGUGUGUGAUGAAGGCUUUCGGGUCGUAAAGCACUGUUGUAUGGGAAGAAAUGCUAAAAUAGGGAAUGAUUUUAGUUUGACGGUACCAUACCAGAAAGGGACGGCUAAAUACGUGCCAGCAGCCGCGGUAA